UUGGCGGCCUUAAAACUUUUCAGAGGAACUCGUAUCUUAAUCCGAUAACCCCCGUUAAUUUUCUCUCCAAUUAAUGUAUUUAUAUCGCCGUCUACUAGAUAAAAAUUAAAUUUUUUAUCUAUUAAGAAUAACCUUUAAAGUCAGGUCGAGAUAAAGCUAAUAUUGAAGCGAGCCGAGUUACAAAUUUUUUUCAAUAACAUUUUCUUAUUUAAAAAUAAUUAGCCUCAGAAUUUGAAAGUAAUUUAAAAGUAAUUUUUCUUUAUGAAUUUCUUUAAAAGGCGUACAUAUCGCCCGUCACCCUCGUCCAAAGAUGAGGUAAGUCGUAACAAAGUUAAUAUACUGGAAAGUGUAUUAAGGG
rnacentral:rRNA from 1 species